rnacentral:rRNA from 1 species
GGGUUGUGAGGUUAAGCGACUAAGCGUACACGGUGGAUGCCCUGGCAGUCAGAGGCGAUGAAGGACGUGCUAAUCUGCGAUAAGCGCCGGUAAGGUGAUAUGAACCGUUAUAACCGGCGAUUUCCGAAUGGGGAAACCCAGUGUGACUCGUCACACUAUCAUUAACUGAAUCCAUAGGUUAAUGAGGCGAACCGGGGGAACUGAAACAUCUAAGUACCCCGAGGAAAAUAAAUCAACCGAGAUUCCCCCA